CGCGCGUAUACAUGCGCAUGUGGGUAAAAAAAUAAAAAUAAACAGGCAGUGCAAAGUUUCUAUUUUGAAAGCUUUUAAUCGGCGACGUGACACCAGAAUGACAACCGGAACGACAGCGUUACCAAACAAGCCGGCUGAGACUGGAACAACAACGUUAGCUAAUAGCAUCAUUAGCCUUCUCCCUGCGUGGCUUGGACAUGGUCUGUUCUGUGUUUGCACUAUACGUUGACUAGCAGAUUGCCCGAACAGGCUGACAGUUACUAGCUAGCUCAGCAGUGCCGGGUGAAAACUGCCAUCUUCCUGUGGAUUUACAGCUGCCGCUUCUGCUACUUCAAUUAGUUCUAUAGCACACAGAUGUUGCUUAAAUGUAGCUGCUAAUGAUGCCGCAAUAAGCCUAAGAUUCAUGCCAUAUUCACAGGCACGUAAAUUUCUCAAGUGGCACAAUUAAAGUGGGAAUAUUGGGAGGGUGUGUGAAGGAAGCUUGGCAGUUGGAGGGAACUUGGAAAGCUGUCCACCUGUUCCUCUAUUGGUCGGGAUCAAAUUAAACUGGAACACCAUUUUGGACUGUUAGCCAAUCUGGGGGUUUUGUGCGAAUUUCAGCCUUCUGAAGAACUGCGGGGCUUGUCGAAGUGGUAACUCCGUGGCAACCGCAUGGAGCUACAGCCAAAACAAGUCAGUUUAAUGCACUCCUUUGUCAAAAGGCUUUCUGAAAGGCAGAGAUUGAUUCACAGUGAAGGUUUGGGUGGCAUUCCCUGUGUUCUUCAAGUCUUUCAGCGUGAAUUCCCUCCGCAUCCGUAAUGACCGCCUAUUACCUGUUUAGUGAACUACUUAUUGACCGGGACCCAUACAGGAGGUACAAGAACACAAUCACCACGGCGACAAGGACAUCUCACAGCAUAGAUUUUCACUCAGAGGCAAAAGAGGCAGGUCAGCAACCAGAGGUUUGCUAGUUCAAAUCCUGAGUUGUCUUCUUCUUUCUCCAAGUAGUACUGUGCAUCAGUGGGAGCUGUAUGACAGGGGCUAAACUGAGCUGAAAGGAAGUGCGCAGACCAGAUUCACAGCCAUCUUUUACAUCCCAACUGUCGGUACCCAUGGCAAUCUCCAUGUAUGUCGAAUGACUGUCUCCCAACUCCCAGAGUCCCAGGGUGAGUUCUAAAUAACAAUCCUGUUCCCUCUCGGGGUCCCAGUCAGAUGUACUGCUCUACGUAGGGAAUAUAGGGGGCCAUUUGGGCCCUGACGGUAACAGUACACCAGUUGUUCCCAGAGCUGCCUGGACCUGGUCAGAGAGACACCACAGGGCACCAUCUAAUCAUACAGUCUAUGACCCCAUUUAUACCUGGUUCCAACAUGCAUCCUUUGUCCAGGUUUCUUCCACAUCCUGAUUGGUCCCACAUAUUUAGACGGGUGUAAGAUAUUACGAUACGUUCUUAUCUGAUCUUAUAAGGGUCAACGAAUGCGAUUGGGUCGAGGUCAGGGCACUAUCAGUUCUUGGAACAGGUCUUGUGACCAGGAGGUUUUUUCACAGGUCGACUUGCUAAACAAAUGUAUCUAUGGGCAAGCACCUCUGAGUUGGGUUAAGAACCGGAUAGGGAUUUCAAUACGUUCCUUACCAUUGAGCAUUCAUUUUCCUGCUGCCAAGAUGUUUGCAUGUUUUUGAUUCCACAAAAUCAAAAAAAUUAAUAUGUUAGCUACUUUGUCAAGUGAUACGAAAAUACAUUCAAACUUGAAAAUUGUUUCAAACCCAACUGGCUACCCAAAUGUGUUUUAGUGUUUUAAUGCCUGGGAAACAACGAAGACAAGAACAUGGAAAUCAAUAUUUUACAAAAAAAUUAUAUUUUAGGGACGCAGAGGCUGCUGUUUCAAAAACUCUGAACAGUAACCCAUCCUCAUUAGCUGUCAUGUUCAUCCAUUGUGCUACUGUCAAUUGUGAGUCAAGGACUUGUGCAGCAUCAGAAAUCAGGUGUGUGUGAUUCAGUGUGUGUGUGCAUGCAGGUUUGUGGGUGUGUGUGUGUCUGUGUGCAUUUAAAAGUGUGUUUGUUUAUCACUCAGUGGAUCAUCCAGGACUGAUGUUUCUAAAGUAGAAAAUGAAGCACCAGGGGUCAUAUUCAGACAUUCAGGUGUGGUUCUUUGGCGUAUUGACGCGCCACCUAUCAGUUUCCCUCAUUAUCACACUUCCCCGCUUGAUCCCGACCAGGGCAAUGUGACAUAAUCAGCUGCCAAUCAGCAACUCUGCCUCUCUGCAUUCUCUUAAUUGUUCAGAUGGAAUGGACGCAAACAACGUUGUCUUGAUGAGAAAUUGACAUUUUCUGACCUGCUUUCCAAGAGCUCUCAGAGAGACAGAUAAGAUGUGGGGGGUUGUUUUAAAGGAGAGGUCUGGCCUCUUCAGGCCUUUAUAUCCUGCUGCCUGGCGCAGUUGAUGAGUAUAGAUUUCACAAAGGCCUCUUUCAACAUUGGAGCUAUGAACGAUACCACCCCUUAUAGACAAAAGCUAACCUUGCCCUUUAAAUACAUUGAUUCUGGACUUUAUCCUUUAUCUGCGUGAACUUGGCAAAAAAGUCUGAAAAAAAGCAUCUGUCCAGAAAAUAAUUGCUACGUACUUAACAGAGAAAUUGAUGACAAAUAAUAUGAAUACUAAUAUAA
ensembl:lncRNA